UACAGAGGUCCCGAGCGUUGUUCGGAUUUACUGGGCGUAAAGGGCGCGUAGGCGGCCUGCUAAGUCGGAUGUGAAAUCCCUCGGCUCAACCGAGGAACUGCAUCCGAUACUGGCGGGCUUGAAUCCGGGAGAGGGAUGUGGAAUUCCAGGUGUAGCGGUGAAAUGCGUAGAUAUCUGGAGGAACACCGGUGGCGAAGGCGGCAUCCUGGACCGGUAUUGACGCUGAGGCGCGAAAGCUAGGGGAGCAAACGGG
rnacentral:rRNA from 1 species